rnacentral:rRNA from 1 species
UCACUACCAGAUGGACCUGCGUUGUAUUAGCUAGUUGGUGGGGUAAGGGCUCACCAAGGCGACGAUACAUAGCCGACCUGAGAGGGUGAUCGGCCACACUGGGACUGAGACACGGCCCAGACUCCUACGGGAGGCAGCAGUAGGGAAUCUUCGGCAAUGGACGGAAGUCUGACCGAGCAACGCCGCGUGAGUGAAGAAGGUUUUCGGAUCGUAAAGCUCUGUUGUAAGAGAAGAACGAGUGUGAGAGUGGAAAGUUCACACUGUGACGGUAUCUUACCAGAAAGGGACGGCUAACUACGUGCCAGCAGCCGCGGUAAUACGUAGGUCCCGAGCGUUGUCCGGAUUUAUUGGGCGUAAAGCGAGCGCAGGCGGUUAGAUAAGUCUGAAGUUAAAGGCUGUGGCUUAACCAUAGUAGGCUUUGGAAACUGUUUAACUUGAGUGCAAGAGGGGAGAGUGGAAUUCCAUGUGUAGCGGUGAAAUGCGUAGAUAUAUGGA